UGCACAUCGAGUAUCGCCAGGUCGCACUUGUUAAUCAAAUGUAAGUGGCCCGUCAGAGUAUGUUGACGUAUCUGAUAGUACAGCAGGGGUCAAAAUACUGCCGACCCGACUGGUUUCUGCCGGUCAACAUCACCACAGGAGCUUGCUGCGACUGUCUUCUAGACUGUCUACAUCAUCACAUACCUCAUGCGAAAAUACGUGACUGGCACGAAUGGCCACACGAGACAAACAUCUGUCCCUCAUUGGAUAAACAUACGAUUGGCUUCUCCUAGGUGAUGACCCGGUCGCCACAGCCAUAUCAUCCAAUGAAAUAAGCAGCAUGGAAAUUGCUUUCUUUAUGACGUAUAAGAAACCACACACACACACACGGCUGAAACUCAUAAAAAAAUACCAUUAUGUUGUUGAUAAAAA